UCGCUCAGGAUGAACGCUGGCGGUAUGCUUAACACAUGCAAGUCGAACGGGAUGCUUAGGCAUCUAGUGGCGGACGGGUGAGUAACGCGUGAGAAUCUGGCUCCAGGUCGGGGAUAACAGUUGGAAACGACUGCUAAUACCGGAUGUGCCGAGAGGUGAAAGAUUUAUUGCCUGGAGAUGAGCUCGCGUCUGAUUAGCUAGUUGGUGGUGUAAGGGACCACCAAGGCGUCGAUCAGUAGCUGGUCUGAGAGGAUGAUCAGCCACACUGGGACUGAGACACGGCCCAGACUCCUACGGGAGGCAGCAGUGGGGAAUUUUCCGCAAUGGGCGAAAGCCUGACGGAGCAAUACCGCGUGAGGGAGGAAGGCUCUUGGGUCGUAAACCUCUUUUCUCAAGGAAGAAGAAAGUGACGGUACUUGAGGAAUAAGCAUCGGCUAACUCCGUGCCAGCAGCCGCGGUAAUACGGAGGAUGCAAGCGUUAUCCGGAAUGAUUGGGCGUAAAGGGUCUGCAGGUGGAACUGAAAGUCUGCUGUUAAAGAGUUUGGCUUAACCAAAUAAAAGCGGUGGAAACUACAGAACUAGAGUGCGGUAGGGGCAAAAGGAAUUCCUGGUGUAGCGGUGAAAUGCGUAGAUAUCAGGAAGAACACCGGUGGCGAAAGCGUUUUGCUAGACCGUAACUGACACUGAGGGACGAAAGCUAGGGGAGCGAAUGGGAUUAGAUACCCCAGUAGUCCUAGCCGUAAACGAUGGAUACUAGGCGUGGCUUGUAUCGACCCGUGGG
rnacentral:rRNA from 1 species